GAUCUAUUUCAUACUCACUUGGACACCUGCGAGCCCUACCAACCUGAACAAUCAAAUGGCACAAACUCGACAGACACACUGCGAACCACCUCAGUCAGUCCAGCAUAUCCCACCCCCUACAACGUGACCACACGGUCAUACAACUUCACCGUAGCAACACCAUCCCAGAACUUCACCACGACAUCACAAACGCUGAACUACAGCUCGACCCCCUCGCACGACUUCAGCAUGACGGCCUUGACAACAAACAUGACAACCAUGCUUUACAAUCACAGUAUUACUACUCCUUCACACAACCAUGGCAUGACUACCACACUCUACAACCAUAGCAUGACUACACCAUCACACAACUACAGCACGACAACUCAUUCUCCCAGCUGUACCAUGUCUGCCACCACUAGUAAAGAGCACAAAGGUGGAAAUAUGACUGCCGCCAGCCUGUUUCAAGACAUUGAAGUGACGUGCGUCAAUAAAACGAGGAUCAGG